GCCUCACCGCUCGCUCUCCAUUCUGCAGCACCCCGCCUCACUAUAUAUGGACACCAUCCAUCCAUCCAUCCAGCCAGCCAUCCAUCCAUCCAUCCAUCCAUCAAGCCAGCCAGCCAGCCAUCCGUCCAUCACGUGUUUGGCCUGCAUGCAUUACUCCUAUGUUUUCCGUGUGGGCCACAAGGAGGAGUCUGCCAUCUGCCCUUGCUCCCUGCAAACCAGCGCUCACCUCUUGUGGCCCACCGACAACCCGGACUCAUACCCUACCAGACUGGUCCUCCUUGGAACCCUGCUAAUCCCGAAUCUAGUUCUCGGAGCCCUUUUUGUUUGCUUCCAAUCUACAAUAAACAUUUGUUCACAAACUA